rnacentral:lncRNA from 1 species
UCCUCUCUCUCUCUCUCUCCUCUCCUCUCCUCUCCUCUCCUCUCCUCUCUCAAUACGAUUUGUAAGCUCGCCGGAGUAAAUCAACAACACAGAUGGCGCAGAGAACUGAAAAGGAAGAGACAGAGUUCAAGGCCCUCGAAACCUUGACGACGACAACAACCCCGACGCUCUGCUCCAACAACUGCGGCGUCACAGCGUGUCCAUCAACCAACAACAUGUGCCAGAAAUGUUUCAACGCCGCCGCCGCCGGUAUAGAUCCAAAUCCGAUCGUAAAAAGAUCAGCCAGAUCCGUCAGUCUCCGGUCAACGCCAGCCAAAGCCGCGAUCCGUCCCAGGGAGACCGAUCCGGUCAAGAGAGACCAUCAUCAACAGACCGUAAACCGAUGCUCCGGUUGUCGGAAGAAUGUCGGGUUGACCGGAUUCAGAUGCCGAUGCGGCGACCUUUUCUGCGCGUAGCACUGGUACUCGGAUCGCCACGAUUGCAGCUACGACUACAAAAUCGCCGGUAGGGAGGCAAUCGCUAGGGAGAAUCCGAGUACACACAGGUAUACAUCUUGUCUUAAACAAACAUAAGCCCGGUUAUGGAGUAUUGAAGACACGUGUCGUCUCUAUAGGAAAGGACUUUCCACGUGGACACACAGGAGAGACACCAACAAUUUUAUAUAUAUAUAGAUAUGGAUGACUUACUCUUUAAUAAAUAAUUUUGAAGUAGACAAUCUACUCUAUUAAAAUAGAGUCAUUAUUUUAUCUACCAUAAAAAGUCUAUUUUAGACCACUAACUAAAAAUUUAACAAAAUAUCCUAAAUUUAUACAUAUAAAUCUAAAUAAUAACAUUCCGGUAAAAAAUCCAAUCCAAAUCUGUUAUGCAAUUUUUGUUUUACCAACCAUAUUUAAUCUAGGCUAGAUUUUAUGUAUUUUUGGGUAGUUAAAUAUGAUACAUUAAUUUUUUUUUUCAAAAUAUAAUAUUAUCUAAUUUAAUUUUCUCACAUAAAAUAUUUUGAUAAUAAAAACUUUUAAUAAUUCACAUAAAACUAAUGUUUAAAAUUAAAUUAUUAAUAUGAUGUUAAAUUUUUUAAAUAAAUAAAUAAAAAUAUGCGGUGAAUAUAUGAUUAGUACAAUUUCAUCAAAAAUAAAUUUCAAUCUUUAUAUAUAUAUAUAUAUAUAUACAGUUUCAAAGUAAUAUUUUUUACACAAUCAAAAAUUGGUAUAAAUAUAUAUUUUUAUAAUUUUUUUUAUAUUUUCUACAACAAAAAUAAAUUCGCACAGACGUGCGGAUUCAACUCUUUUUUUUUAACACCACGUGCGGAUUCAACUCUAGUUAAUUUCUAAGAGCAUGUUUAACGGAAAAAUCUAGUGGAAAUAUCAGCUAUUGGAAAAAAAAAAUUAAAAUAAUAAAAAGACAUGUGAAAUGGUAAGAAAAGCUUCUAUUGGGGCACCUUUCAGGUACAGGUUGUAACACAUGUUACCAACGGUGGGGAUGUUCUUUGGAGAUCUUAGCACUGAAAAAUUGUUAUUUUACUGCAUGUUAAUUAUUUAUUUAAAUUAAUUUAUUUUACAUAAAAGUAGACAAUUGAACUAAAGACAGGUGGUCCGAUAACAUCUUUUUUAAGAUUCUUUUGGGUUUCUCUCUCUUAUUUUUUCUUAUUAGAUAUCCAUUAUCAUAUCUUCCAUAGAAAAGCUAUAAAGAAAAAUAAAGUCAUUUUAUCAUUUAAAAAUGAUUUUUUUUCUUUCUCCUAGAAACUUUAACAUCUUGUUGAUCAAAAAAAAAAGAAACUUUAACAUCUCAAAUGAAACUCUUCAAUAAAACAUAGAAACAAACUCAUCGAUGCUCUUAUCAGAACUACCUCCUUCAGAAACAGCUUCUAGAGCCAACACUUUCCACUUCUCAGCAUUCCUUCUCAUCUCUUUCGCUUUCUUUAUUUAUGUUAAGAUUAAUUAUAUUUUAGUUAAAAUGUUUUAAUGAGGGGGUUCAUUGAAUGAUUUAAUGUGAUAGUCAAUGAGGAUGCAUGAAUCCAACCGACUUCCAUAACGAUUCCAAAAUUCAACCAAGGGUAGAAGAAGUGGAAUCGAACAGCCAAAUACGACGCCUUCCAACUGACAUUGAUCGGAAUUCAGCGUGGCCGGUGCAUCAAAUUUUCAUUGGCCGUAGGUUUGAACCGGAGUUGUUAAAACGCAGCAGAUCUGUCUUUCGUUCAUCGACAUUAUUUUUGGAGAAGAAGCCGUCAAAUGUGGGACUUCCUGUUACCCUAGAGCCCAGAAACCCAAUUAUGUUAAGCCCAAAACACUGAUCUGAAAUAUUUAUUAACAAAAAGAGAAAAGCCCAUUAAUAAUCGUGAUUAAGUGAAACGGUGAGUAUCAUCCAACCCGGACACAUGUCGGCCUGUCAGGAACCGACUUUAUGACGUGGCAAAGCAGGAGUGAGGCGAACAUAUUUUUAUAUAUAUAGAUAGAUAUAGAUUAUAUUCUGUUUUGAAAAAAUGAAGAAACAUGUUCGGUAAAUUGUAAACAAUUUGGCCCAAAUAUCAAAAAAAAAAAAUCUGGGCCCAUAUCCCUUCAUAUCUCAAUUGUAAAAAUCAUAAUUAGUAAGUUAUACUCUUUUGUUUUUCAACAAAGUAAUUUAUACAGAAAAAAGAAAUGAUAGAGAACGCAUAUUGCCUCGCUGUAUGCAUUCUAGAAUCACUAAAACAACAUUUAAAUCAACUGUAAUUCCCCUAAAGCAGUGAGGGUGUGUACGUAAUUUACACCUGAAGACGGAAAGCGAGGGGUGGUGGAGAGAGAGAGAUGAUAAGAGUUGGAAUCGCGUCUCUAUAAAGCCCAUAUAUUCCAUUCACCUCCUCUCUCUCUCUCUCUCCUCUCCUCUCCUCUCCUCUCCUCUCCUCUCUCAAUACGAUUUGUAAGCUCGCCGGAGUAAAUCAACAACACAGAUGGCGCAGAGAACUGAAAAGGAAGAGACAGAGUUCAAGGCCCUCGAAACCUUGACGACGACAACAACCCCGACGCUCUGCUCCAACAACUGCGGCGUCACAGCGUGUCCAUCAACCAACAACAUGUGCCAGAAAUGUUUCAACGCCGCCGCCGCCGGUAUAGAUCCAAAUCCGAUCGUAAAAAGAUCAGCCAGAUCCGUCAGUCUCCGGUCAACGCCAG